UCUAACUUUGCAAAAUUCGGGACCAUAAUAUGCAUUUGUCACAUUUUCCACUAAGGAUCUUGGAUAUAUAUUAGAUAUAUUUACAUAUACCAAAAAUGAAUUGGUCCAUAUAACUUUACAAUGAUGAUAACUAAUAAUUAAAGAAUAGGUAAUUAUAAAAAAUGUUAGUAACGAUUAUUAAUUUGAUUUUAUACUUGAUGCUGCAUAAUACAUAUUAUUUAAAUAGUUAAUUUGACAUUUGUCACUUUUUUCACUAAAGAGGCAGCCAACAAAGUGGAAGUCAUUCACCACACAUGCAGUACCAGCUCCCUCCGCAUAUUCAGUACCAGAUGCCGCCUUAUAUGCAGUAUCAGAUGCCAACACACAUACAACCACACAUGGCACCCUAAAUGUCAUCUGUGAUGAUGCCAUCUCACAACAAUAACGAAUAAUUUUAAAUCAUAAAUAACUAACAUACUUAGCCUAUACAUAAAGAACUUCGAUGAAGUAAUAGACGAACGGUGGUUCAAAUCUAACUUUGCAAAAUUCGGGACCAUAAUAUGCAUUUGUCACAUUUUCCACAAAGGAUCUUGGAUAUAUAUUAGAUAUAUAUUACAUAUACCAAAAAUGAAUUGGUCCAUAUAACUUUACAAUGAUGAUAACUAAUAAUUAAAGAAUAGGACGCAGGCAACAGGGUGAAAGAAAUCAUGUAUAGUUAUCGGAUUAGAAACAGGUUGUUUUAAAUCUUUCUCUGAAAAGAAAGAGUACAUAGUAUAAAGACAGGACGCACAAGCGAAGCAACAAAAUAUUGUAGUGCCACUUGCACAAAGAGGAUUUUCAUUACCAACAUUAUGCCCAUGGCAACACCUGUGACGAUGCCCCAUCAGAUGCAAUUCCAGAAACCUGAGGUAAUGCAGCAUCCAUAUCCAGUACCAGAUGUCACCUCAGAUGGUGCCCCACAUGCUGUACCAGUUUCCACCACACAUGCUGUACCAGCUCCCUCCGCAUAUGCAGCAUAAGACACUAACACACGUACAACCGCACAUGGCACUCCAGAUGUUUGUGGUGAUGCCAUCUCAUAACAAUAACGAAAAAUUUGAUUUAAUUUUAAAGGUUUGAAAACCUUGUAUAAUUAAUAUAUUAGAUUAUAUAUGUAUAAAUAUUUUAUGUU